rnacentral:rRNA from 1 species
AGUGAACGCUGGCGGUAGGCCUAACACAUGCAAGUCGAACGGCAGCACAGUAAGAGCUUGCUCUUACGGGUGGCGAGUGGCGGACGGGUGAGGAAUACAUCGGAAUCUACUUUUUCGUGGGGGAUAACGUAGGGAAACUUACGCUAAUACCGCAUACGACCUACGGGUGAAAGCAGGGGAUCUUCGGACCUUGCGCGAUUGAAUGAGCCGCUGUCGGAUUAGCUAGUUGGCGGGGUAAAGGCCCACCAAGGCGACGAUCCGUAGCUGGUCUGAGAGGAUGAUCGGCCACACUGGAACUGAGACACGGUCCAGACUCCUACGGGAGGCAGCAGUGGGGAAUAUUGGACAAUGGGCGCAAGCCUGAUGCAGCCAUACCGCGUGGGUGAAGAAGGCCUUCGGGUUGUAAAGCCCUUUUGUUGGGAAAGAAAAGCAGCAGGUGAAUACCCCGCUGUUCUGACGGUACCCAAAGAAUAAGCACCGGCUAACUUCGUG